rnacentral:rRNA from 1 species
UGGGGAAUAUUGCACAAUGGAGGGAACUCUGAUGCAGCGACGCCGCGUGAACGAAGAAGGCUUUCGAGUCGUAAAGUUCUUUUAUAUGGGAAGAUAAUGACGGUACCAUAAGAAAAAGCCCCGGCUAACUACGUGCCAGCAGCCGCGGUAAUACGUAGGGGGCUAGCGUUGUCCGGAAUCACUGGGCGUAAAGGGUUCGCAGGCGGAAAUGCAAGUCAGGUGUAAAAGGCAGUAGCUUAACUACUGUAAGCAUUUGAAACUGCAUAUCUUGAGAAGAGUAGAGGUAAGUGGAAUUUUUAGUGUAGCGGUGAAAUGCGUAGAUAUUAAAAAGAAUACCGGUGGCGAAGGCGACUUACUGGGCUCAUUCUGACGCUGAGGAACGAAAGCGUGGGUAGCAAACCGG